GAAUUGCAAUCUUUUGGUUAUUCCCAAACAAACUCAUGUUGAGGGUAAAAUAAUAGGCGAAUUUGCCUUUUAAGUUGGCAAAGUGAAAAAUUAGUUUA